rnacentral:lncRNA from 1 species
UCUUAGAUGUAUAUAUGUUGGAAGGAGGCUAGACUGAGGAAAUUUCCAUGUCAAAAAUUUCCCACCAGAGACUGAGGAAAUUAAAGCAAGACUGACUACCCGGCCUGAUAACACUGAGGAAAAAGUGAAGUCACGUCUUGAAAUAUAAAAGAAAAAUGCAGAUGCGAUCUUAUCCACUUACUCAAACAUAAUGAAAAGGAUUGAUGGAAACCAUCCUAAAGAAGUAAUUUGAAAUAGACUCCAUUUUGUCUCAAGUGCUGAAUGAUAAAGAAAAGAAGAGGAAAUUAGGGAGUAGCUUAAGUCAAUCAUCUUCCGUCCAGACUUACAUUGAUUGUCUGCAUAUAAAAGUCUGACAAGUCUAGAAUGCUGGCAGAGGAGCAGACGGAAGUUGAGAAUUCCUUGGGUGGAAAUUCAGAAGAGAUUCUUUUUUAUGAAAAGAAGGUAUAUACAUUUCUUGUACCAAGGAUAGAUGAAGUUGUUGGUGUUUAUCUGUACUUAUCUAUUUCUGUAUCUUAAUGGCAGAAAUCCUUUGUAUCUGCUGGUCAUCUUCGUUGGCUUUUUACUCUUUCUUUGUAUCUGCUGGUCAUCUUCGUUGCCUUUUUACUCUUUAAAGCACUAUGGAUGCAGCUAGACACCUCGGCAGAAUUCCGCAAUGGCGCUCUUCCGGGACCUUCUCUCUUUGUCCACCAAGUUGGUGCCAACUAUCAUGAACAUGAUAAAGAGAUUAGCAUAUGAAGGGGCAGCAGCUACUGCGGAUAACAAUCCUCAAAG